AUCCAGCUGAGGAGUCCGAAAUAGAACGAAACGCACCUCUUGGAU
rnacentral:hammerhead_ribozyme from 1 species